rnacentral:lncRNA from 1 species
GUACUAAACUUCUUUUUUGUUCUUGUAAAUAUGCAAUGACAGUUAUUACAGAUGAAAGUACAUUUAAGUGGUGUGGUACACUCGUUUUAACUAUUUUCAUCAUGACCUACGAUAUGAUUCAACAAUCAGUGGAGUAGUAUUUUGCGCAGUCUUGAUCCCAAGACUCUAUACCUUUUUCAUGCUUUCAUAUUUUUGAACACCAAGCAAGCAUGAGCUAGACUCAGUCCCUGCCAGUGUUUCACAUCAGCCGUGCAUCUUGAGGCUUCGCCUCAUGUUUAACCCUAGCAACUCUCACCAGAAACAGAUGACAGUUCAUCUCAAGAACAUCACUCGGAGCAUAACAUUUAGUCAAACUAUAAUCAAAUGAGAUGCAACCCAGGCAAACAGAAAUCCUCUCAAGAAAGUCAGCUUAAAAGAGAAUAGGUUCGGGAUAAUCUUCCAUAUAUCUUAGGUGGACAAAACUAGCAAGUUGCCCAAAAACACAAAUCAACAUCCUUACAAGUAAUAGAAGAACUAAACUAAGCUCCUUCAUAGAACAUAGUAGAUUAAUUAAUGCAGCUUCAAACAACAGACAAUCUCUGGAGCUGCAAGAGAGAUGGACAGCAAGAGGACAAGGGCAGCAGAUUCACCCAAGAAUGCAUCCUAGGCAUCUAGAACCCUGGUCUACUUAGAUCUCUGUCUCAUCUUUCUGCGCUUCCUCUUCAGUCUCCUCAUACGCUUCUUCUUCCACUGCAUUUAAAAAAGAAAUAUUAAAGGCUGCCAUAUGGUAAGCAACCCCCACUUCCAACCGAGAGAUUGUGAGUUCGAGUCUCCCCAAGAGCAAAGGUGGAAAGUUCUUGGAGCGGAGGAUGCCGGGGGUCUAUUUGGAAACAGCCUCUCUACCCCAGGGUAGGGGUAAGGUCUCCGUACAUACUANNNNNNNUCUAUUUGGAAACAGCCUCUCUACCCCAGGGUAGGGGUAAGGUCUGCGUACAUACUACCCUCCCCAGACCCCACUAAGUAGGAUUAUACUGGGUUGUACUUUUUUAAAGGCUGCCAUAGUUACAGUUAUAAGAGAGAACAAAAAUCUUAGCAAACUCCCUUCAGGUACACUUAAUUGUUAUCUAAAGAGGGUUAAAAAAACCAUUCUCUCAGCUUUCCUCUUGAUCUCUUUGGCUACAUUCUCAAUACAACUCUGAAUCCAGAUCUCUACUCCAUUCCAGGGCCUCACACUAAAUCAGUACAUUCUUAUAUUUUUUUCCCAUAUAAAGCCCAUUAAAUACUUCUUUUAUGGCAAAAUCAGGACUUCAGAAUGUUUCUUUACCCCAACAAAAGAUCACAAAAGGCACAGCACACAUCAAAUAAGCUCUAGUUUGUGCACGAAAAAAUAGUAGUCUGUCUAAACAAAAUACAUGUUCAUGACAGAGAGUCCACCACACAAAAGAGUACUUUUUUUAUAACCAUGGUAUCAAGGCAGCUUACGCACCUCAACUACCUCCCACUCCCACCAGGACAGGUACCAAGUACCAUUAUCCACCACGGCUUGGACAAAUAAGAAAUCACCUAAUGUUUUUGCCCCUGCUACAUUGACCACUAGCGCGCACACACUCGCCACCCAUAUAAAUGCCAUCGUAAUGUCACUAAAACACAAAGUUUAUUAAAAAGCACUGAUUUAAAUAGUCAGUCUAAUUUUGUUCCUCUUCCCAUCGCAAUCUACUACACCAUCAUAUUAAAAGAUAAGUGUAUCUCAUAUCAUACUCAGUUAGACUAGAAAAAUCCCUUCUACCAUUCCAACUGCCCUUAAUGUCAUUUGAAUAGAAAAUUUUCGCCUAUGGACCCUUCUACCAUUCUCUCUGGACACUCUUGUCUUGCGCUAGAAGGAGCAAAUGAUGGAGAUGGCUGGGAGGGUAGAGAUCUGCGAAAAGGCAAUGUGGGCGCAAUCUUGGGAAUGGCGCAGAUAUAGGCUGACUGACAGGGUUAGGCAUGUGAAACAAGAAUCAGAAAGCUGAUCGAAUGAUGCAGGUGAGAAAACAAAGAGACGACUGAUGGAGAAACUAUGGGAUUUCACAUGCUGGAGAAACCAGUCCCAGCAAUUAUUUUCUCAAAGUAGGACACAAGUAUUCCAAGUUUCUAACUAAUGGGGCUUCCUAUGACUUUCUCAAUUUGCUAUUGAGGUUGGUGCAGGGAGAGUGGAUUUGCUUAUAUAGCCGUUGGAUGUCAACAAACUCCAGUAAAAAUCUGAAGCAAUCAUAACAUUGCAGAGCCAAAAAAAAAUAGAGAAGACACUGAAGAGGGCCUUCCAGGGCUCCAAUUAGAAUCAGCAAGCUGUAGAGAAGUCAAAAGGGCAGUGUUUUCCAAAUUAAAACUUGCUGAAGUAAACAAUUUUUUUCUCCUGGCUUAUAUAGCUAACAACAACUAUGUCUCCAUGCCAAACAAGAUGGGGUCAGCUGUAUGAAUACAUAUAUAGCAUAGUGCAGAAAUUCCCCAGAUAUAUGGUUUUCUAUGACAUGAAGUUGGUGAGGAUGGCAUAAUCCUGUUUCUUAUAUAUUAGCAUGCUAAACAUAAUAUCUAAGUAAGGUAAUUUCUCUCUGCGUAGGAGUACAUUCAUGAUUCCAUUGACCACCUUAUAAAGAAAGAGAAAUCAUAUUUUCUUUCAGGGGGGCACAGAAUCAAAUAAUGAGUUCAAAAGUGGCUCAAGGAAAGUAUGAUGGGUUAGAAGUAGGUCAAGUAUUAAGUCUUAUAUCCUGUUCAAAAUAUAACAGGCAACGAAAGCAACAGACCCUUUAAUCCAUCGCAGUAACACAAAUGCAGAACAUUACCAUCAUACAUCAAUUGCAAGUUUAAACUAAAACAUGAAUUCAAACACGACAUAUAUUCGAAAACAUUUUAGAUUCACGAAACAGAAACAUGAAAUUUCGAGUCAAGAAGAUGCAUUAUUUAGGAUUUGGAAUGAGAUAACAGACCUUGGCCCUCAUCCUUGCUCAAAUUUCACCGAUGGCUCACUCUUUAUCUCUCGACUUUCGCCGCUUUCACGAUAAAACUGUGGCCUCCGCUUGUAUUUAUAAGAAGGUAACAAACCCUAGCUUCCUAGUAGGACAUUCUAGUAAUUUCGGGUCAUUUUGUCCUUCGUGUUCC